UUCUGUUAAGAUAUUGCUGGAUUCACCAAUGUCCAAGCUUUUUCCAGCUUUAUUCCUUAAAACAUUUCCCACCACACUGCACAAUCAAUAAAAAUAAAUAUUCAUUGACGCAUACAAAAAAAUGCAUACACAAAUCAAAUGUGAACUAAUAAAAAACAUUCCCACCGGUCCUUAUCUCCCUUGGCUCUCCACGUUCUUUGACUUUCGAAGCUUUACGACGUGUGUAGACUGCCCCUUCAUAAUCUCCUAAACAGCCAAAAUCCAUUGGAAAAAAAAUCAAAUAACCUAAACCAGAAAAAACUAAAAACACAAAUAGGGACCACAAAAAAAAUAUAAAUCGAAAAAUUAUGCAUUUCUUCUACUAGAUCUAGCCAUCUCAAACCCCAAAAAAUAUUAAAUUUUACAACACGUGCUAUCGGAUCUAUGCACCCAAAAAAACACAAAUAGGGACCACACAUUACUUUAAAACCCCAC
rnacentral:lncRNA from 1 species